rnacentral:rRNA from 1 species
UACGAAGGGUGCAAACGUUGCUCGGAAUUAUUGGGCGUAAAGCGCACGUAGGCGGCAUUGCAAGUCGGAUGUGAAAUCCCUCGGCUUAACCAAGGAAGUGCAUCCGAAACUGCAGUGCUUGAGUACUUAAGAGGAUCGCGGAAUUCCCGGUGUAGAGGUGAAAUUCGUAGAUAUCGGGGAGGAACACCAGUGGCGAAGGCGGCGAUCUGGGAAGAUACUGACGCUGAGGUGCGAAAGCGUGGGGAGCAAACAGG